AACGAACGCUGGCGGCAUGCCUAACACAUGCAAGUCGAACGAGAUCUUCGGGUCUAGUGGCGCACGGGUGCGUAACGCGUGGGAAUCUGCCCUGUGGUUCGGAAUAACAGUUGGAAACGACUGCUAAUACCGGAUGAUGACGAAAGUCCAAAGAUUUAUCGCCAGAGGAUGAGCCCGCGUAGGAUUAGCUAGUUGGUGUGGUAAAGGCGCACCAAGGCGACGAUCCUUAGCUGGUCUGAGAGGAUGAUCAGCCACACUGGGACUGAGACACGGCCCAGACUCAUACGGGAGGCAGCAGUGGGGAGUAUUGGACAAUGGGCGAAAGCCUGAUCCAGCAAUGCCGCGUGAGUGAUGAAGGCCUUAGGGUUGUAAAGCUCUUUUACCCGGGAUGAUAAUGACAGUACCGGGAGAAUAAGCUCCGGCUAACUCCGUGCCAGCCGCCGCCGUAA
rnacentral:rRNA from 1 species